rnacentral:lncRNA from 1 species
AGAGGAGGAGGGAAAGGGAGGCCGGCCAGGGGGAGGGGCUGGAAUCCAUUCUGAUGACACCAGGAAGCCAUUGAAGUGUUUCAAGUGGAUUUUUAAACAGCCAUUCUGGUUUCCUGCGGAGAAAAGCUGGAGGGGAGCCAAGGGGGAAAGGCGAGACUCGUUACAAAGCCCCAGGCAGCUCCAGGCAUUUGCGGUACUGGCAGCCAGCGGCCCAAAAGGAGAGACGAAAUUUUAGCAUCCAUAUCAACACCCUGGAAAGCCUGAUCGGCCAUGCAUGGGCCAUGUGUCUUCCUCUGGACUGAUCACUGUGGCCCAGAAAGUGGGGUAUUCUGAUGGCACACCCUGGGUCACAAGUCCACCAGAAGAUGCAGUAAGGCUUCUGGUUUCCUGUCCUGCUGGAGUGAUGAUGAUGGUGAUGCUGAUGACAAUUACAACAGUAAAGUGAUGAAUCUUUAUGGAGUAAAUCAGUGUUUAUGCGUGACGUCUCCUCUGAUCCCAACAACAUGAUACGAGACAGACAUCAAAUCCCCAUUUUCCAUGAAGACAAACAAUCUCAAGGUGGUGACUUCAGGUCACACAGCCAGUGAAGGCACUGAGAAGCGAGGCCAUCUGAAGGCAGUGCCGUGGAUGUCGCUGAGUGGACUGUCUGACGUGUCUGUCCCCAUCCCGGGGAGGAGAGCUACGUAUGGCCGUUGAGCAGUUCCCAGACCCGGGCUGAAUCACUUCUGCUUUUGGGAGGGGACUCAGUUGCCACCACUGUCCAGAAAAGAGCAGUGAUCGCUGUUGGCGGGGCUCUUGAGAGGAUGGAAGGAGCUGAACUGAAGGUCCAUACCCGGCCCGUGAGCCUCGGUCUCGGAAGCUCUGCUCGUGUUUGCCUGUCACCGAAAGCUCAGGAGAAGAAAGUGCCCCAGGGCUGGAGAUGGGAAGGGAGGAAGUGAAAGUCAAAUCACGCCGUGCGUUUCGGUUUAAAAGCCACCGUAGGAACAAGCCUUGCCAGGGGAAAAAGUUGAAACUAAAUGAGGCUUUCAGUUUUCUGCGGGUUUCAGUGAUUCAAAUGAGCCCCAGGGCUCCCUUUUGUCUCCCGGGUGUUGCAGAGGUCACACCCCGGGUUGGCAUGAGAUAAAACGCUGCUGUGCACACAGAAACCGCUUGUGCACUAGCCAGGCUCUCUCCGAAGGCCAAGUGCCCGAGCCACUGCUGUUGUUUCUGUUUUAAUAUUCCCGGAGUGUUGAAAAGUGAGAUGCCGAAACAGAACUACAUUGUAGUGCAGUUUUUAACAUUUAUGUUGAAAAAAUUAGUAAUUUUAACACGCAUUUAAAUAACUGCGAUAUAAUUAUCUUGCUUUUCAAAAGACGACCACGUUUAUAAGCAACGUUCAUGUAGGAUGCGCUCUAAAGAGUGGGACCCAAAUUUAAGGCUGUGUGAUGAGUGACUCCUUCCAGUCCUUAGAGUGGAUGUCACCGCACGGACAGGCUCAUCUGGAAAUGGUGUCAGAAGCCUUUAUUCGAGGGAGCCUUUCAAAACUGCACGGCUGAGCUCAAAUGCUCUCCUGCCCCAGCCGCCCAGCAACUUGGCCUCCAGCCCCACCACAGAUACCCCGCUAUCGAGUGUGUCCUUAUGACUGUGAAGCAAGAAGGAGAAAAAUAAGGAGGAUGGAGAGGUCCAGUAUGGAGUGCUCCUUUCACAAAGAUUUUCCAGUACCUACUGUGUUCGGAGGCAAUGACCCGGUGCUGUGCUUGAGCUCAUAGUCAGGGUUCGCAUCUGAGAGUUUCAUUCUCUCCUCACGUGUGGAAUCUCUGCAACGCUCAGCUGUCUCCUUGGGUACCUCAUUUGUGAGGCUCCUUGUUGGCUGUCGUGAGCAUGCAAUGGCUUAUACACAUCCAGUUACCGGAGUGGUGCCGGCACAGGGAAGGACCAGCACACACGUGCCGCCUGCAGAGGCUUAACUCCCGCUCCUCCGUGCAUUCUGCAUUCCACCCACUCUGCAAGCUGCUUCACCUGAAACCACUGCCUGGCAGUACGGGAAGGUUUUGGUAAAGCACGAGGAAAUGCUACUCCAUGGAUGAGGGGAACAAAGGCAUCAGUUUUAUUAAGGAAACUCUUACAAAUCCAUCCAUCAACCAUUCGACAAGCUGCACUGUGCUUGGUGCUAGCUAGGGGCUGCAGACACCGUAGUGGAUGAAAAGUGCAUAAGUAAUCAGUGUACAGCUCAAUUAAUUUUCACAGCAUGAACACACGUGUCAUUCAUACCCAGGUCAAGAAUCAGAAUCAGCAGCGCCCAGAUGCCUGCCUGUACCCACUUCUAUGCACAACCGCCUCCCCGGGGGAAAUAGUACUCUAACUUCUAAAACCACAGAUUAAUUUUGCCUGUUUUUAACCUUUAUAAAAAAGGAAUCACAACAGGUUGUCUUUUGAGACUGGCAUUUUGUUUUUACUCGUUAUUAUGUUUGUGAGAGUCGCCCUUUCUUGUGUAUAAGUUGUAGCUUAUUUAUUCUCACUCCUACAUGUUAUCCCAUUGUGUGAAUGAAUACACCAUGGUCUUGUAUCCAAUCUACUGCUGAUGGACAUUUGAGUUGUUUGCAGUUUGGGAAUAUUACAAAUUACACUGCAGCUGACAUUCUUGUAUGUGCCAUCUGUUGUGUAUAUGCCUGCAUUUCUGUUGGGUGUUUACUUAGGAGUGGAAUUGCUGAGUAUAAGGGAUGGGUAUAUUCAGUUUGAACAGAUACUAUCAAGCAGCUUUCCAAAGUAAUUGUAACAAUUUAUACUCUGCUCAGCAGAGUAUGAGAGUUCUGGUUGCUCUAAAUUGUCUGUCUUUUCCACUUUAGCCAUUUUGGAGAGUGUCUUGUGGUAUCUGUAUUAUGACGUUAAUCUGCAUUUCCCAAUGACUAAUGAAGUCAAAUGCCUUUUCACAUGUUUAUUUUCUGUUUGGAUAUCUUCUCUUGUGAAGUAUCUAUUCUGACAUUUGCCCAUUUUCCUGCUGAGUUCUCUUCCUUUUUCUUAUUGAUUUGAAGGAGCACUUUGUAUGUUCCAGGUAAGAGUCCUUUGUCAGUUAUAAGUAUUGAAACUGUCUUCUCCCAGUCUGUGGCUUAUCUUUUUACUCUUCUAAUGGUUUUAAAGAACUGAAGUUCUUAAUUUUAAUGUAGUCCAAUUGAUCGAUAUUUUUCCUUUUACAGUUACUGCUUUCUGUGUCUUAAGAUAUCUUUGCCUGAGAUGGUUCUUGUGGACGCAGCUAGAGCGAGGCAGGGAAAUUGUUAUGCACCGUGUUGCCUGUACAAGCAAAAAUACAGUCAGGAUAGCUACACGUGACCUCAAGAAAGCAAAGCACGAGCUGUCUGUUCAUGCCUUCUUUGGGAAGACCUGCUGGGAGGGACACAUGAGGAAAAACCCAGAGACCCCUGUGAACUGUGUGUUUUCCAAGUGCUCUGAGAGGGGCAAUACAGGGUGUGGGAAAGAGAAGUACAAAUUGAUGAAAUGGCAAAGUGCACCAGAUCAGGAAAUGAAGGAUUGGAGACCAGCUAAGGGAGGCAACAAGAAAGAUCGUACUAUCCCAAAUACCCUCAUACUCCACUUGGCUUCUUCCUCUUCUGCUUAGACCUCUGCCUAAGGUCAAAUCCAUAAACCUAGGCAUUUCCAUUGGAGACCUGGCCAAAUGGCUGGUGACAUGUUGUGGUAUGCAGAAUUCCUAUCACUCACAUGAUCGUGUGAAGUUCUAUGGCAGAGUUGACCUUAAUAUAGGAGAUUAUCCUGGUGGGUGUGAUUAAAUCAAUGGAAUUUUGCUAAGCAGAGAGCUUCCUCCAGCUAAUGGCAGAAGAGGAAGCCAGAGAGAUUUGAAGAAUGAAGGGGAUUUGGCUUGUAGAUGCAGGACACCACGUGAGAAGAAAGUCAGGCAACCUUAAAGAGCUGAGAGAGGGCCCUGGCCAGCAACCAUCAAGGAAAAAAGGUCCUCAGUCCUACAACCACAGGAACUGAAUUCUGCCCACAAUGUGAACGAGCCUGGAAGUGAUGUCUACUCAGAGCUGGCCGAGGACUCAGCUUGGCUGAUAACUUGAUUUCUGCCUUGUGAUUCCCUGAGCAGAGAAGGCAGCUACACCGUGCUGGACUUCUGACCUACAGGACUGUGAGCUAAAAAUGGGUGCUAGUUACUCUGCAAAGUUUGUAGUAAUUUGUUACACAGUGACAGAAAAAUAAAACACGUGGACUAGUUUGAGUCCUAGUGAAAACUUACCUUAUAAUAAGGCAACAAAGUUGAAGAUGAAUAAGAAGGACGUUGCCCACUGUAACCUAAAAGAAAGUGGUCGGUUAAAGGGCCGUCUAACAUUCCCCAGAGAAAAAGCUGGAGGAGGAAGAUGAAGAGUAUGGGAGAGGGAUAAAGAGGACGGGGAGGGGAGUAACUAAGAACACUGUGCACCUGCCUCCAUGGGAAUCCGUGAGGACAAUGCAGCAAGUGACCCAUCUCCCAUUUGAGAUGGUGUCUGUUGCUCUCACCGAGUUUAAUUCCACAGCUGGAACAUGACCACAUUAUAGUUCUUGAGAUGCUCUAGAAACCCCGGGUGGUUUCCGUGCUAUAUUUUAUGAGUGUCGCAAGCACCCUGAAAUGCUAUCAAAGUCACUCAUAUGUUCACAUAUUUUCAAAAUAAAAAGACACUCUUUUGUUGUCCUCACUCCAUGAUCUUAGAGAUUCAUGUAAGAGGGCAAUUAAAAUGUUUCUGGAAUUUAAAAAAUUUAUUUGUAAGGUGGUGUUACAGAUUGGAAAUCCUGAGCUAUCCACUGUAUAAUCUAUAACUUUGUAAAAAGAACGAGACACUAGAGCCUCCUGUGGUCCACGCUGUGCUGUGAUGCUGUGAUGCUGUGGGAGCUGGCACGUUUUCUAGGUGCCUCAGGGAUGAGGCCAAACCCGUUGACGCUGCUUCUGGUUGUCUUGUUUUUCUAUCUAGAGACAGAACGUUCUGCUGACAUUCUUAGGUAUGGAAAAGGGACGUCGGCUGGCAUGAGAAGUGCUCUGAUUAUUUUUAGUUAAAUAUGGUAGUUUUAAAACAAACUGUAAAACUCUUUAUUGUCAGAAAAGUGCAUAGCCACUGCUUCAAUGAAAGUGCAUCGCCUUCUGACCUUAAACACACCAUUUGUAACUUUCUGUUAUUUUUGUGUGUGUUCUGGAAGCUAAGACUUUCUUUUCAUGUCCAGAUCUUCCUCGACUUACAAUGGGGUUGCCUCCUGAUAAACCCAUCACAAGUUGAUAAUAUCCUGGGUUGAAAAUGCAUUGAAUACACCUACCCAGCAAACAUCCUAGCUUAGCCGAGCCCACCUUGAACAUGCUCAGAACACGUGCAUUUGCCUACAGCCGGGCGGAAUCAGCCAACACAAAGCCUAUUUUAUGAUAAAGUCUUGGAUGGCUCAUGUAAUUGACUGAAUAUUAUACUGAAAGCAAGAAACGGAGUGGUCAGAUGGAUAUGGCACGGUUGUAAGUGUGUCGGUUGUUCAUCCUCGUGGUCGUGGGGCUGAGUGGGAGCUGCGACUUGCUGCUGCCGCCCAGCAUCACGGGAGAGGAUUGUAAGUCACGGAUCAUCCGUAACUGUUUUUCUUGAAGUGUGACAUCAUCCAGAGAGUGUAGGGAUAGCCAGCUUGGGGCUCGGGCAGUUGUCACAAAGGGACACACCUGGGUGAGAAGCCCACAGCCCGAGAAGCCCUGUUCCUUUCCCUCCUGCCCGCCCCCCACUGUUAAAGCUGCUCCUUCUUCCCAAAGAUAACCUCCAUCCUUACUCCUAAGAUAAAGGUUUGAUUUCUUUCAGAAUGCUGAAGUGUUUUUGAAGCAAAGUGGAGUAUUACAUUUUUCAAGUGGGAAAAAAAAAAGGGUCAGGAAGAUCUUUUUCUGUUUUCUUUUACAAGUUUUAUUGUUUUACCUUUUGCAUUUAGGUCUCGAUCCAUCUCAGUUGAACUUCUGGUGUGGUGUGAGGCCGGGUAAUGGUCCAUCCUUGCCUCCCCCGGGAGCCCUGUGUCUUCACCUUGCCCCUCCCCUCGGCGGGUCCUCAACACCUCUUGCGAGACUGCUGAAAACGCUGAGAUGAUUUUCCGGGGCUUGCUGCUUCUCUUUUUCAGUCUCCACUCCUCAUAUACCCCCAACUCAGGAAAUGCCUGAAGGGAAAUCCAACCAUGUGAUGGAGGCCCCCCAUGUCUCUCAGAAAUUCUCUGGUAUCUCUGUCCCCAGACGCCCACCUUCUGCCACGACCCAGAAUGGGCGAAUGUCCUGGGGGCAGCUGCUGGUCAGCUUCCUCCCUGAGGAUCCACUCACUCCAGUGUCAGCGGCUUGGGUCCUGCUGCCCCAGCAGCUCUCCAGUGCCUCCAAACAGAGAUCUCUGCAUUUAAUGGGACCUUGCCUGCUUUGCUGGACAGAAGUGCUGGUCUGCGACAGGUUAUUCCAUAGCCCCCAAAACAGCACAUGCAUUUUUAAUCGUAAUCAUGGUAAAGUUAGGAGGGCAAGAGUGGAGAAAAUGAAAUGAGCUGAAGAGUGCGUAUGAAAUUUAUUUUAUUCAAGUGAAGAUUUAUGCUGGCAGAUUUCAUUCCGGCUGACAUUGACCUUUUCGGACGAGAUGAGAGUUUCUGCAGGUCAGGACUCUGGGAGCAGCCUCACUAUGCUGUUCUGGCUCAGGAUCUCCAAUGAAGCUGUGGUCAAGAUGUCGGCUGGGCUUAGUCAUCUGAAGGCUCGACUGGGGUGGAGGGUCUGCUCCCAAGAUGGCACACUCCAUGCCUGUUAGCUGGAGGCCUCAUCUCCUCCCAGUGGAUGGAUCAGCUGAAACCUUCAAGAAACAGACAGCACCGGGACCGGAGUGGGAGGAGGGGGCAGCAGGCUGUGUAGCCGGCACGGAGCCAGUGGGUAAACUUCCUCCUUUCUGCCUCAAGCCUACAAGGCAGACUUUGACCCUUCUCGAGACUUCAUAAAGGAACAGCUGUCCACCAUUUCCGCCCUACCUCCUGUCAAGACACGCCCAGUGUGGACCAGGCCCCGCCGCCCCGCAGACGGAGAGGGGAGAGAGAUUCACUUCACGCCCAUUUCAAAGUGGACGCAUUCGCCUUAAACGACCUUAAGUUUAAAGGCAGUUUCUCACGUGGAACUGAGAGUGGCUGUUUAAAGAAGAGAUGGCAAUUAUGUUAUCAAAUUAUAGUGUGGAAAAUAAAACACAGGAAGCAUUUCGUGCUUAGACAGUGGAGUGUAGAAGAGUCAGGAGCCAGGUUCAAAUUCUGGCUCCACAUCCAAACAGAUCUGUGACUUAGAGCAAAGUACAUAAGCUCAAGGCCUCACCUGUGGAACAUGGAAGAUGAGGCCUACAUCGUUAGGAUAUUGUUUUCUGAGGAAGAUUGGCCCUGAGCUAACAUCUGUGCCAAUCUUCCUGACUUUUGUAUGUGGGUUGCCACAACAGCAUGGCUGAGGAGUGGUGUAGGUCCAUGCCCAGGAACCAAAGCCACGAACCCGGGCCACUGAAGCAGAAUGCGCUGAACUUAACCACUAUGCCACAGGGCUGGCCCUAAAGACGGUAACUUUUAAUACUACUGUGGGUAGCACAUAGGAGGUGCUGUAUAAACCAUAGUUACUUUUAUUAAAGUGAAUUGUUUUUUUCCAACAAAAGAUUUAUCAUUCCAGCUAUGGUCAGCCUUGGCUAGAAAUAUAACUUGUCUGCAUUUUUAGAUAGACACUUAUGAAUGGUGGGGUGUUUACCUAAGAGUACAGGCUGCAUUCGUAGUUACACUGUGCUUCCAUGGGGUGGGGGGAGCAGCUUCAGAGCUGGCGGGUGCCAUGAAUGUUCCCAAGUUGGAGAAACACACAGAAAGAACCAAGGGUGGUUAAAAAUACUAUAAUCUUCUCUUAGAGUGAUGGCAAGAUGGGGGAACAUGUGGAUAAGAAUGGUGUACGCGUUGGGGGGUGUGGACAUGGAGCAAACCAAAGUUCGAGUGGAGGAGUGAAUGGACCAAUGGAUUUGAAGGUACUUUGAAAAGUGUAUGUGCCAUGUGCAUUAUCGUCAGGGGCCCGCCGCCAGUUCUCAGCGUGUUAGUGGCAGAAGAAGGGAAAACGGAACACAGGGUUCCUAAAGCCCAGCCAGAUGCUGUCUCCCGCACCAUGCCGUCCUGGAACGUGGAUGCCACCCCUCUCUUCUGACAUUUCAUGGUUGUUUAGAGUUAGCUGUAGCGCAGCCCGCAUAUGUCUAGUGCCUGGUGGGAGAACGUGAAUUAAUUAAAGUCUCCUCAUGCUUUUAUUCACCAGCUUCUCUAGGAUUUUUGUUGUAAGGCCAAGUUAUCAGAGACACCACGGCUUUCCUCGGCGGCCCGCCAGCACGGGGGAAGGAAGACACUCAGCCCUUAGGAGAGAAGUUCAAGAGGUUAGAGCUUCUGGGGACAGGAACAGCCCAGCCUGAGAGCUUUGAGCACCUUUCCCCUGAAGAAGGACAGAGUGUGUGUGUGUGUGUGUGUGUGUGUGUGUGUGUGUGUCCGGGGUGUUCAGUCAACCAAAAGGAAUCCUGCAUAGCUUGACCUUUGCUGUAUAUGUGGAAUGGAGCAGCCUUUUUUUCCUUCUUUUUUUUAGAUAGAGUGACUGUAAAGAUGGUAAAGAAAAUUACAAGCUUCCUGAAAAAGAAGGAUUGGAAAUUAGUCUCGAAACUGCUUUGCAAUUAUGUCUGUAUAUUUUAGAUGUUUUGGCUUAAACUAAAGGUAGUAAAAAUAUAUAGUUUCUGCUAUGAUGUGGGUUUAGCUUUUGUCAACAGACGUUUGUAGACUACAUUACAGAGGCGGGUUCAGACGUUAUCUAAUUAUGUAUUAGACUUAAGAACGUGGGAGCAUUUCCAGAUAAGACUAAGGUGACCCCUGAAUCAGGCACCACCUGCAGAUAUGAUUCUGGUGUCUGGUAACAAUAACCUCCUGCAAGGUUCUCGCAAUCUAGAACUAUUCCUUAUACGACCCAUUUUGGAGACAUUUUAGAGGAAAACAGCAGAGAAAGACUGGUGCUCACCUAGUGUAGACAUCUGCUCUUACUUCUCUAGUCUACACCGUGUGAGUGUUACACUCUCUGGGACUGGGACUGCUGAAAGGAAACCAAGGAACGGAAGAAGGGAAUUAACCCCUUCGUGUACUCACUGGAAAGAAGCCUUCAGGUCGUUUGAAUCACAAAGGUCUUUGUCUCGCUGGCAGGUGCAGCUUACCCUCCAGAGCAACGUGGAUUCAUGGCGUCCAAAUGUCCUGCAUGGAUUCACCUGUUUGACAGAACCUGGCACUCAGAGUAAUGACAAGGCCUGAUAGUUCUUUUUUAUUUUUCAAACCCCAAGUUGAUUAUCCCCUAAGUGCAAAACACUUCCAAAAUAUAUAGUAAGAAAAGGAAUGUACAUUACAUUUAGUCUAAACAGGAGAUCCUAGGAGAAUGUUAGAGACAUUUUGGAGGUUGGGGAAGUGGCGCAAAGGAUGCAUAUUUAUUUAUAUGACUUACGUAGCUUAUCUACAAGAAAUUUCAAAUAUUUCCCUAUUUCAAAUACAGAACAUAUGCCUAAUACAUCCCCCCAUGAUUGAUAAAUGUGAGGUUUUCGGGGUAGAAAGUCACGUGGGGUGAGACUUCCGGGGUUCAUGGGGGGAAGGUGAUAAACAGCAGUCAGAUGAGUUGCAUACUCCUUAGGGCUUGACCUUUGUAAGUGCACCUUCUGGUGGCACUGGCUGCCCCUCCUUGCCUUGUGGUAUCUGCUGACCGUGGGCCUGGGUGCACAGGGUUUCUCUCUGGUCUGACUGAAGUGCUUCCCUGAAGAAGGGACGUUGGGGCAGCUCAUGGAGAAUGCUCCCCAGGCUGGUGGAAUGCCUGCAUCCCAGAGUGGCAGAUGUGGCUUAUCCCCCAGAAGAUGUUUUCUUUGUCUGCAGGGAGACAGGGUUUUCCAAUCUCCCUGUGGCCAGGUGUGAUCUUGUGACUAAAUUCUAAUCAAUGAGAUGUCAGCAAAACCAUCUGGCAGCUUCUGAGAACCUUCCUGAAGAGAUAACUAUGAUGCGCCCUGGAACUCUCCACCCCUUUGUUCUUUCCCCUGUUUGUCGGCGGGAAGAUGGACCAUGGGGAUAACCUCCACUCUGGGGAUGAUGGCAGAGAGGGCAACCAGGGGAGUCUGGCGUCUCGGGACUUUGUGAACCUGCCAUGACAGCCCUAGGCCUCUGAUGUCUCCUGAUUUCAUUUAGGUCAGAGAAGAACACAUUUCUGUCUAGUUUAAACCACUGUUGUUUUGGGUUUUCUGUCACUUACAGCUGAACUAGGUAAAAGGCAGGAUUUAGUUGUGUUUUUUGUUUGUUUCUUUGUUUUUGCCAAAAUGUUGAAUAUACUAGUGACAAUACAUAGAGAUUGACAGCAGAUAGGCACACGGGGGAGUACGGAAUUUCAUUGCAGGCCAAAUCCUGGGGUUCUGAAGGACUCUCCUGAUCCAUGUCGGUGGGCGACCUGAGGUCACUCACAAAUCUCCUUCAGGGCCAGCUACUCCUGGUAGCUGUUAAGACUUCAUAAUAAAGAGUAGCAUGUCAGCAACUCCUGAAAUAUCUUUGUUUUUAAAGCUAGUUGGGGAGAACUGGGUAGAAUUUAUAAUGGGUUCUGCCCUUCAGGUUAGUUAUUUCCGAGGAGAGAAGAGGUGAGUUGAAAAUUAAACAUAUUCCAAAUGGCUCCCCCUCAAGUGGUAUCAGGGAAUGCGUGCAAGAGUCCAGGAUUCUCUUCUGAUUAAAGAAUCAUUAUCCACAAGUGAUAAAGAGAGCCCGCAAAGGGGGUAGAUCUUAUUCAGAGAAAAUGAACUCAACAGAGAUUGUUGCGAUUGUGGCAAAACCCCAGCUCGCUGAGAUCAUCUGCUGCUUCUCACGCCCCGGAACUCUGUAUUCAUGAGAGCAGGGCAUUUCGGUCGGAAUGGUUCUCAGUUCUUCUGAGAUGUUUACUUGUUGGUGGAACUCUCAACCAGAGGACAUUCAUCCUUGGUUACGACCCUCCCUUGCACUUUGCUUCUUCUGGCACGGGGCUCGGGGAAUUACAGCUCAUUGGCCCCAUCUUAGUUCACGGGCAGAGAAUGGUUUUUAUAUUUAUAAGUGGUUCAAAAAAUUAAAAGAAGAAUAACACUUUGUGACAAGAAAAUUAUAUGAAAGUUACAUUUUGGUGUCUGUAAACAAAGUUUUAUUUGAACGCAGCCGUGCCUAUUCAUUGACACCUUGUCCAUGGCUGUGCUGGACCCCAGUGCAGAGUUCAGGAGUUGCACCAUCACCUGCAUGGCCUGCAAAGCCUAAAAUAGUUAGUAUGCAGCCCUGAACAGAAAAAGUUUGCUGAACCUCAGAUCUCGCACAAUGUGACAUCUUGGUUUUAGAUUCAGAAGUAGGAUCAGAAUUAGAGAGUUGAAAGGUAUUUUGAAAGCCUCUUGUUAACAUCCCUGACUCAUCCCUGGCCAAAGUCAAUGGUCUUAUUUUUUGUGCAGCUGUUCUGUUCUCAAGAGUAGUUACUGCAAAGGCAAUCCUCAUGCUCAUUGCUUUGUCGCGGUUCUGCUCUCUGAGCAUGGCCAGGGGUUGGCAUGUAAUAGCUGCUUUAAACUAUACAAUUAUUUAACACUUACUUAGCACUUUCUAUGUGAUAGGACUGUUCUAAAUAAGCUACAGGUAACUCAGAGAACAUUAUGAGGUAGGCACCGCAAUUGUCUUCAGUCUACAGAGGAAGAUCCUGAGGUCCAGGGAGGUUAACUGAAUUUCCCGAGGACGCAGAGCUUGUAAGAGGCAAAGUUGGGAUUGGAACUCGGUCUGGCUCUGGAGGCUGGGUUCUCUGCUGUUCCGUUCACCAAAGAGCCAAGGAAUGAACAUUUGAUAGUUGCAUUUCACGUGUCAGUCCUUCAAACAGCUAAAGGUGGCUCCCUAAUUCCUGAAAAAUAUACACAGUUCCUCCAAAAGCACAAGCCAUGUAACGCUGCAGUGUGAGGAGCAAGGGAGAAUAUGUUCUUGCUGUAGUUUCUGUUUUCUCCACAUAAUUGUUCUCAUUUCUAGGUGCAACCAGCAUAGUCAGGGGUCUGAAAACCUCUUAGUGUAAGGACAUGUUGGAGAAUCUAGGGAAAGAGAGCUCUUGUUGGGAAAUGACUGGAGGCAGUUCUAGGCUCCACAUGGCAUUCACGAAAUCCUAAGGAAGAAAGAGCAUUAUUCCCAGGGCCUUCAGAAGAUCAGACUUUCCUCCUAGAAGCCUCCAGCAAACCCCCUGUGUCAGUCGGGGUCCUCCAAGAGCUGACAUCAAGGUAGGAUUAUAGGCGCUGGGCUUUUAUGAGGAAAAUGCAUGUGGGAAAGGAAACAGGCAGGGAGCUGGGCAGGCUGAAGUCAGACACUGAUGGAUCUCUCAUGUGGAGUAAAAGGAAGAGUGAGAAAGGGUCUUAUGCUGCUGUGCAGUCUAAGCCAAGCCUUAGGGGAAUCCUUUAGCCAAAAUCAGCUGACAGAGGAGUGCAGUGGCUUCCUGGAGCCAGUCUGUCUAAGUAUACUCAGGAUCCACAAACUUGGGGAUGAGUUUCCAAGUGCAGACCCGGGCCCUUGGUCACGACGCUCCUGUGGUAGGCAAUAUCUCAGCGCACUCUCACAGCUGCUAGUCUCUCCUCACAUCUCGUUGGUUCAUUAUUAAAUCGACCUUUGUGUCAGGGGACUAAGUGCCCCGAUUGGCUGAGGGCUGAAUUCUUGAACCAAUCACCGGCAAUGGGGUGGGAUUUCCCAUAGCCCAUUAAGUCCACCGUCUGGGGUCUGGGUCAGCUUCCCUGGAGGGUGUGAGUUGUGGGGAGGAGAGGCUGAUGAUACCCAGAUAAAACUCUGGAUAUCCUUAGGAAGAGGAAGGGGGAAUAAAGUCUGUGAUUCUGCAGUUCUGACUUUGAUUUAUCUCAUGCCACAGCCUGCGCUUGUUUCUCUGCACCAUAUCUCUUAAAAUCUAUGGCUACCACAGGUCUUAAAAGUCAUGGUGUUUGAGGUGGGAGGGCGGGGAUCAAAUUCUCUGCCACAGAGAAUCAUCCUGUUAUCUAUGACAUAUGCCACAACUAGUUUUAGAUCGCUCAUAAGUUGUUGAUGAGCUGGCAUCUUGCGGUAGUCAUGGUUACAGAGUGUAAUUAUGUGCCUGACCCCGUGCCUUGUGUCCUUUCUCACGUUAAAGCCCACGACACCCGAUUAGAGCAGCCUUCUUUCCAGCUGCAGAAGAUGUAGAGGACCCUAAGGCUUAGAGGGUUAGGAAACUUUCCUGAGUAGGUAGGUGCCUAACUGUUUGAUUGCAAAGCGUAACAUCUCCUCCUCCAGUUCUUACUGUGACGAUCUCUUCUCCAGCUUUCUUCAGAACAGCUUUUUUAGAAAGAAGUUUGUUCCUCAGGAGCCAUUCUCUUCUAGGUGAGACCGGGAGAGCUUUGCGUGCUCCUGGGCGCCGUACGCGUGGUGCUGCCAGCGUUGGCUUGAGAAGGCUGUUGAGGGCUCUUGGGGCUUGUGUGAUGCCAGCUGGAAGGGCAGGUUGCCCUCGGUGUGCAGUGCCUGUGGGUAGCCAAAUACAGUGCCAGCUUUGGGAUCGUAGCAUUUGGCUCCCUCUGUAAAGAGAACUGUUUUCUGUAUCUGUUCGGUUGCUUAGUUAUGUGCUGAUACACACCACGGUCAUGUGGAGCUGGUGUUUUGGGAAAGCAGUGGACAGGCAGACAGGGUCCAAAGUAACAAGGGCUGUGGAGAGCAUUUCAAUGGCCAUCUCAAUGACAACCCGUUUGAUGACAGGAAUCUUUCCUGCAGGUGUGCCCUGCUUUAAAGAAUACAAAUCAACAACACAGGUCACGAAAGGGUGAUUAUCCCACUUUGAAAGGCAAAAUGAAUUUACACAAGGAGUGACUAUGAGAGUCCCUUAAAUAUCAAUGAAAUGAAUUUAAAAUACAAUUCAUUAUAUACCACAUUUAGUGUGUUUUCAAGAGUGCAUCGGGUUAAGGCCUGUUCACAUACAUAUGUUUUAAAGAAAUAUAUUUCAGAUAGCUUCAGCAAGAUCAAAUUUCAACAUAUUUUUAAGUGUGGAUACAUUCAAGAAAUGUUCACUAAGGCCCUACUGUGUGCAAGGCCCCAGCAGGUCUGAGGGGAGGCCCAGAUUCUGCAUUCCCAACAGGUUCCCAGACCACACUUCGAGCAGCGCCUUCGAGAGCAUCAGACUGGGAAAUUAGCAAAAACUAGGAGAGAGGUGAGGCCCGGAGAGCCCCGCACAGUAUGAGCCUGGGGAGGAUGCUGCUGCCAGCCAGUGGCUGGGUCUCUGGUAACAUCACUGCCACCAGUACCAGUGCGCCCUCGCUUCCCCGUUGCUGGGGACACUGGGUAUUGGAGUCCCUGCAGCUGAAUGAGUUCCUAUUGCAGUCAUUGCUCCCGUCUCCAGGACCAGAGUGGGAUCAGCAUCUGUGCUCCCCGGGCUUGGCCGACCAGGUGCUCCUUGGAGAGUGGGAAAAGCUUGUGUCAGCUCCUCUUUGCAUCUGGAGUGGAAGGCGGGCCCUGCCUCCCACCAUGACUCGCAGUGUAAGAAACUCCCCAGACCUGGGAAGGAAGUUCAGGUGCUGGGCAGCCAAGACACGAUAAAUGUCCACUGAGCACUCUGUGAGUUUAUGUGUAACAAGGCUGCUUUAGCUAUGGGGCUCACCUUUACAUGCCCCAUGGCACAGAGAUGACAGUCCCGGGAGCCUGGGCAGCCCCGUGGCUUACCUGGGGCUCACCACUCUUUGCCCCAACCUCAGGCAAGACGUGGCUCUCCCACGUCACAUGCCCGGCUUGCUUGGCCACUUCUGAUUUGAUGAACAAAACGCUCCACGUUCCCAUUCUCAUUUGCUUUAUUUCAUUCCCCAUUUAACUGCAGAUUUUUCUUGUGUCAGGAAGUUUUUUCUGGAUUUAGUUGGUGAGGAUCAAGGAACUCCCAAGGUAUUAAGCUCAUCUUCCUGACGGGAUUUACAGGGGGAUUUCUCCAAUAUUAAAAAAUAAAGGUAAAUCUUAAGCAGUGGCUAAGAAGAAUAAGAAAUGUCAAAGUGUACGCCUGUCUGUUCCCCUUUUAGGAUCACUAUGCCCAUCCACACUGGG